AAUUCCUGGUGUAGCGGUGAAAUGCGCAGAUAUCAGGAGGAACACCGGUGGCGAAGGCGGGUCUCUGGGCAGUAACUGACGCUGAGGAGCGAAAGCGUGGGGAGCGAACAGGAUUAGAUACCCUGGUAGUCCACGCCGUAAACGUUGGGCGCUAGGUGUGGGGGCCAUUCCACGGUCUCCGUGCCGCAGCUAACGCAUUAAGCGCCCCGCCUGGGGAGUACGGCCGCAAGGCUAAAACUCAAAGGAAUUGACGGGGGCCCGCACAAGCGGCGGAGCAUGUUGCUUAAUUCGAUGCAACGCGAAGAACCUUACCUAGGCUUGACAUGCACGGAAAUCUCGUAGAGAUACGGGGUGCCUUUGGCGUCGUGCACAGGUGGUGCAUGGUUGUCGUCAGCUCGUGUCGUGAGAUGUUGGGUUAAGUCCCGCAACGAGCGCAACCCUCGUUCUAUGUUGCCAGCACGUGAUGGUGGGGACUCAUAGGAGACUGCCGGGGUCAACUCGGAGGAAGGUGGGGAUGGCGUCAAAUCAUCAUGCCCCUUAUGUCUAGGGCU
rnacentral:rRNA from 1 species